UUUCCUCUUCUACACUUGAUACUCUUUCUUCUUCUGAAAAAUUAACCUAAUUGCCUGGAAGAAACUCCAAUCUGCAAAAAAAGAGAUAAAUUUAAGUUCUCUCUUUCUGUCUAAUUUUUAUAAGUUUAAAUUCCUGGUUUUACGGGGAACUGCCAAACAAAUAAUGCCAUAAGAACACUAUUUCCAGGCGAUCCAAACACUAUUAAGAAAAUGAAGCAAUGAUAUAGGAAAAGGCGAAAAAAUCGAAUUCUCAUUUAUAUAUCCCUAUCUCAGUCUGAGAAUUACAAGAAUAUGGGAAUAAAGUGAUGUUUUUCUUGUAUAAUCUGACAAAUUAAAAGAGAAAAACAGUAUUUCCAGGCGGUCUAGACACUAUUAAGAAAAUGAAGCAUUGAUAUAGAAGGUGAAAAAAUUGAAUUCUCAUUUAUAUAUCCCUAUCUCAGUCUGAGAAUUACAAGAAUAUGGGAAUAAAGUGAUGUUUUUCUUGUCUAAUCUGACAAAUUAAAAGAGAAAAACACUAUUUCCAGGCGGUCUAAACACUAUUAAAAAAAUAAAGCGAUGAUAUAGGAAAAGGCGAAAAAAUCGAAUUCUCAUUUAUAUAUCCCUAUCUCAGUCUGAGAAUUACAAGAAUAUGGGAAUAAAGUGAUGUUUUUCUUGUCUAAUCUGACAAAUUAAAAGAGAAAAACACUAUUUCCAGGCGAUCCAAACACUAUUAAGAAAAUGAAGCGAUGAUAUAGGAAAAGGUGAAAAAAUCGAAUUCUCAUUUAUAUAUCCCUAUCUCAGUCUGAAAAUUAGAAGAGUAUGGGAAUAAAGUGAUGUUUUUCUUGUCUAAUCUGACAAAUUAAAAGAGAAAAACACUAUUUCCAGGCGAUCUAAACACAAUUAAAAAAAUAAAGCGAUGAUAUAGGAAAAGGUGAAAAAAUCCAAUUCUCAUUUAUAUAUCCCUAUCUCAGUUUGAGAAUGCGGAGAGUAUGGGAAUGAAGUGAUGUUUUUCUUGUCUAAUCUGACAAAUUAAAAGAGAAAAACACUAUUUCCAGGCGAUCCAAACACUAUUAAGAAAAUGAAGCGAUGAUAUAGGAAAAGGUGAAAAAAUCGAAAUCUCAUUUAUAUAUCCCUAUCUCAGUCUGAAAAUUAGAAGAGUAUGGGAAUAAAGUGAUGUUUUUCUUGUCUAAUCUGACAAAUUAAAAGAGAAAAACACUAUUUCUAGGCGGUCUAAACACUAUUAAAAAAAUAAAGCGAUGAUAUAGAAAAAGGCGAAAAAAUCGAAUUCUCAUUUAUAUAUCCCUAUCUCAGUCUGAGAAUUACAAGAAUAUGGGAAUAAAGUGAUGUUUUUCUUGUCUAAUCUGACAAAUUAAAAGAGAAAAACACUAUUUCCAGGCGAUCCAAACACUAUUAAGAAAAUGAAGUGAUGAUAUAGGAAAAGGCAAAAAAAUCGAAUUCUCAUUUAUAUAUCUCUAUCUCAGUCUGAGAAUUACAAGAAUAUGGGAAUAAAGUGAUGUUUUUCUUGUCUAAUCUGACAAACUAAAAGAGAAAAACACUAUUUUAAGGCGAUCUAAACACUAUAAAAAAAAUAAAACGAUGAUAUAGGAAAACGUGCAAAAAUCGAAUUCUCAUUUAUAUAUCCCUAUCUCAGUCUGAGAAUUACAAGAAUAUGGGAAUAAAGUGACGUUUUUCUUGUCUAAUCUGACAAAUUAAAAGAGAAAAACACUAUUUCCAGGCGGUCUAAACACUAUUAAAAAAAUAAAGCGAUGAUAUAGGAAAAGGCGAAAAAAUCGAAUUCUCAUUUAUAUAUCCCUAUCUCAGUCUGAGAAUUACAAGAAUAUGGGAAUAAAGUGAUGUUUUUCUUGUCUAAUCUGACAAAUUAAAAGAGAAAAACACUAUUUCCAGGCGAUCCAAACACUAUUAAGAAAAUGAAGUGAUGAUAUAGGAAAAGGCAAAAAAAUCGAAUUCUCAUUUAUAUAUCUCUAUCUCAGUCUGAGAAUUACAAGAAUAUGGGAAUAAAGUGAUGUUUUUCUUGUCUAAUCUGACAAACUAAAAGAGAAAAACACUAUUUUAAGGCGAUCUAAACACUAUAAAAAAAAUAAAACGAUGAUAUAGGAAAACGUGCAAAAAUCGAAUUCUCAUUUAUAUAUCCCUAUCUCAGUCUGAGAAUUACAAGAAUAUGGGAAUAAAGUGACGUUUUUCUUGUAUAAUCUGACAAAUUAAAAGAGAAAAACACUAUUUCCAGGCGAUCUAAACACAAUUAAAAAAAUAAAGCGAUGAUAUAGGAAAAGGCGAAAAAAUCCAAUUAUCAUUUAUAUAUCCCUAUCUCAGUCUGAGAAUUACAAGAAUAUGGGAAUAAAGUGAUGUUUUUCUUGUCUAAUCUGACAAAUUAAAAGAGAAAAACACUAUUUCUAGGCGGUCUAAACACUAUUAAAAAAAUAAAGCGAUGAUAUAGGAAAAGGCGAAAAAAUCGAAUUCUCAUUUAUAUAUCCCUAUCUCAGUCUGAGAA